rnacentral:tRNA from 1 species
UUCUAAAAUGGCAGAAAGAUGUAUAGGAUUUAAGCUCCUACUAGGAAGUUAUUAAUCUUCUUUUAGAAUC